GAUUACCGUCCAAUUAGUCUGAUUCAUGCUAUUCCCAAGAUCAUUGCAAAGGUCCUUGCCAUCCGUCUUAGCCACCACAUGCUCCACCUUGUCUCCAACGCGCAGAGUGCUUUCAUCAAGACAAGAAGCAUCCAUGACAAUUUCAUGUAUGUGAGGAAUCUUGCACGGAGGCUCCACAAGUGCAAAACCCCUUCGCUUCUCUUCAAGUUGGACAUUCGGAAGGCAUUUGAUUCAGUCAAGUGGGAGUAUAUCAUUGACCUCCUCCGCCGUAGGGGGUUCCCGAGCAUUUUCAGAGAUUGGAUCACCGCCCUACUUUGCUCCUCUUCCUCG
rnacentral:rRNA from 1 species